UUUGAGUCAAAGUGAUUUGCACUUGAACACGCCCACCAGAAAUAGACCGGGACCCAUUUUUAUUCUGCAUGGCUGCUGGAAACAUCAUGUCACAUCUUUGAUUAAUUUCAUCUGAAAAUAAACAACCACAGAUCGCUCCAUCCAUUCCAUGGCUGAAGCAUACAUUUUCAUUUAAUCUGAACAGAUAUCCCAGAAAGAUGAAGCUGAGGAAGAGCUGCAGAGUACCACCAUGGCACUCUUCGUCUUCAGGGACAACUCAAGCCUCCUACAUCAGCCUCGAGACAUCGGGAUAAUCAUUGAUGGUGUGGAAGUCCUGAAUGAGUUGCCUUCUGUGGCAGCUGGAGUGGCAAUGGUCUUUGGACUCUGUUAUGCUCUUAAUAUGGAAUAUCCACGAGGAUUCAGGUUCACCUUUGAGGCUCUUCAAAAGAUUAUGAUGGAGCUUGACUUUAACAAGAUGACCUCUAAGAUUCGCAAACUUAAUUGUGAACUUAACACUGCACAGUAGUGUGUUUGCAUGCAUGUGUGCAUGUGUAUGUGCACAUGCAUGUGCAUGUGUGCUUGGUUAUUUUGCUUGGUUGGCCUGCAGUGGUAUUCUACAUUCAAAAUUUAUAAGAACACCCAUUUGAAAGGGAGAUUUAAGUUGAUUUCAUUGAUACAUGUGUAGAU